AACGAACGCUGGCGGCAGGCUUAACACAUGCAAGUCGAACGGGCGUAGCAAUACGUCAGUGGCGGACGGGUGAGUAACACGUGGGAAUAUGCCUUUCGGUUCGGAACAACUCGGGGAAACCCGUGCUAAUUCCGGAUACGCCCUUACGGGGAAAGAUUUAUCGCCGAAAGAUUAGCCCGCGUUGGAUUAGCUAGUUGGUGAGGUAAAGGCUCACCAAGGCGACGAUCCAUAGCUGGUUUGAGAGAACGACCAGCCACACUGGGACUGAGACACGGCCCAGACUCCUACGGGAGGCAGCAGUGGGGAAUCUUGGACAAUGGGCGCAAGCCUGAUCCAGCCAUGCCGCGUGAGUGAUGAAGGCCUUC
rnacentral:rRNA from 1 species